GGUGAAUCGAGAUUUUUAAUGAAGUGGGUUUGAUUACUCUUGACUGUUUUGUGAAAUCGAGUUACGUCUGUGAUGAAGAGUUAAAAGGGUGUCUAUAGGAUUGAGUAUGCAGAGUGAAUGAAAUUUAUUGGAUUAAUCUAACAAGACAGUUAGUGGAUACAAGAUUGUGAGUAUAAAGCGGUAUCGAAGAUUAGAAGUUUGG
rnacentral:lncRNA from 1 species